GGGGCUGUCGCGCAGUCGGUAGCGCGUCUCGUUCGCGAUGAGAAGGUCAGGGGUCCGAAGCCCCUCGGCUCCA
rnacentral:tRNA from 2 species